rnacentral:rRNA from 1 species
GAUGAACGCUGGCGGCGUGCCUAAUACAUGCAAGUCGAGCGAACAGAUGAGGAGCUUGCUCCUCUGACGUUAGCGGCGGGGGGGUGAGUAACACGUGGAUAACCUACCUAUAAGACUGGGAUAACUUCGGGAAACCGGAGCUAAUACCGGAUAAUAUAUUGAACCGCAUGGGUCAAUAGUGAAAGACGGUUUUGGUGUCACUUAUAGAUGGAUAUCCGCCGGAUUAGCUGGUUGGUAAGGUAACGGCUUACCAAGGGAACGAUGCGUGGCCGACGUGUGGGGGGGAUCGGCGGCACGGGAGCUGAACCACGGACCAUGCUCCUACGGGACGCACCAGUAGCGAACGUUCCGCAGUGGGCGAAAGCCUGGCGGAGCAACCCCGAGUGAGUGAUAAAGGCCUUCGGAGCGGAAAACUCUGUUACGAGGGAAGAACAAAUGUGUAAGUAACUAUGCACUUCUUGACGGUACCUAGUCAGAAAGCCCCGGCUAACUACGUG